GAUGAACGCUGGCGGCGUGCCUAAUACAUGCAAGUCGAGCGAACGGACGAGAAGCUUGCUUUUCUGAUGUUAGCGGCGGACGGGUGAGUAACACGUGGAUAACCUACCUAUAAGACUGGGAUAACUUCGGGAAACCGGAGCUAAUACCGGAUAAUAUUUUGAACCGCAUGGUUCAUAAGUGAAAGACGGUCUUGCUGUCACUUAUAGAUGGAUCCGCGCUGCAUUAGCUAGUUGGUAAGGUAACGGCUUACCAAGGCAACGAUGCAUAGCCGACCUGAGAGGAUGACCAGCCACACCGGAACUGAGACACGGUCCAGACUCCUACGGGAGGCAGAAGUGGGGAAUAUUGUAAAAUGGGCGCAAGCUUGAUGAAGACAUGACGAGUGUAUGAAGAAGGACUUCGGGUUGUAAAGUACUUUCAGCGGGGAGGAAGGGAGUAAAGUUAAUACCUUUGCUCAUUGACGUUACCCGCAGAAGAAGCACCGGCUAACUCCGUG
rnacentral:rRNA from 1 species